GACGAACGCUGGCGGCGUGCCUAAUACAUGCAAGUAGGACGCAGUUGCGAACGGGUGAGUAACGCGUAGGUAACUACCUAUUAGAGGGGGAUAACUAUUGGAAACGAUAGCUAAUACCGCAUACUAGUAGAUGGACCUGCGUUGUAUUAGCUAGUAGGUAGGGUAAUGGCCUACCUAGGCAACGAUACAUAGCCGACCUGUGAGGGUGGUCGGCCACACUGGGACAGGGGUACAGCCCAGACUCCUACGGGAGGCAGCAGUGUGGAAUCUUCGGGAAUGGGGCGAAGCCUGACCCGGCAACUCCGCGUGCGAGAAGAAGGUUUUCCGGUCGUAAAGCUCCGUUCUAAAGGAAGCGGGACUUGACCAGAAAGGGACGGCUAACUACGUGCCAGCAGCCGCGGUAAUUC
rnacentral:rRNA from 1 species